AUUGAACGCUGGCGGCAUGCUUUACACAUGCAAGUCGAACGGUAACAGGCCUUCGGGUGCUGACGAGUGGCGAACGGGUGAGUAAUGCAUCGGAACGUGCCCAGAGGUGGGGGAUAACGCAGCGAAAGCUGUGCUAAUACCGCAUGUGAUCUGAGGAUGAAAGCGGGGGACCAGGCAGCAAUGUUUGGCCUCGCGCCUUUGGAGCGGCCGAUGUCAGAUUAGGUAGUUGGUGGGGUAAAGGCCUACCAAGCCGACGAUCUGUAGCUGGUCUGAGAGGACGACCAGCCACACUGGGACUGAGACACGGCCCAGACUCCUACGGGAGGCAGCAGUGGGGAAUUUUGGACAAUGGGCGCAAGCCUGAUCCAGCAAUGCCGCGUGCGAGAAGAAGGCCUUCGGGUUGUAAACCGCUUUUGUGCGGAACGAAAAGGCUCUGGCUAAUACCUGGGGCUGAUGACGGUACCGUAAGAAUAAGCACCGGCUAACUACGUG
rnacentral:rRNA from 1 species